rnacentral:lncRNA from 1 species
CCACGGCAGGCCCAGGAAAGGGGACCCGGGAACUUUGAAGAUUCCAUGGAGUUUCACAAAACCAGGUUUUGCGUCAGAAGGUUGAGUUCUGAUCCUGAUUCUGCUGUGUGGUUCUCUGGGUUUUAGCCUCUCAUCUAUAAAAUGAGGAAAAGGUGAAUUUGGCCUUGCCGCCCUCUCAAGGUCGUUUUCUCCUGCCUCAGGGCCUUUGCACAGGCUCUUCCCUCUGCUAAAAUGCUCUUCCCCCGUCCCUUUCCUUUUUACCUAAUGGACUCCAUGCCUCUUUCAGGUCUCAGUCCAUCACCACACCUGCUAACCAGGUAGAUUUCCCAUUAUCCACUCUCAUAGGCCUACACAGAGCUGCAUUCCUCCCUUUGGCCGCUGAUCAGUUGUCAGCUGGCCUUUGUUUGUGGGAUCCUUGGACCAGCGACAUCCUCAUUUGCCCUGAUGAAGGUGGGCACUUUGCUGUCUUCUCUGUGGCUCUCUCCCCAGCCUGCAGCAGAGUGCUUGGCCUAUAUUUUUGUUGCCGAAUGACUGUUCAAAUAAGAUAACGUAGGUGAAGACCCUUGUGUGUGAAAAACACUAAACAAGGAGUUUCCGUCAUGGUGCAGUGGAAACGAAUCCGACUAGGAACAUGAGGUUGCAGGGAUCUAACCUGCAUGCUCAUGGAUGCUAGUCAGAUUCGUUUCCACUGCGCCACAAUGAUAAAAUCCUCCACCCAUUCAGCAUACAAUCCUCAUUAAAAAAAAAAAAAUACAGGAGUUCCCAUUGUGACUCACUAGGUUAAGAACCUUACAUAGUGUCUGUGAGGAUGCAGGUUCAAAAUCUGGCCUCGCUCAGUAAGUUAAGGAUCUGGCGUAGGUCACAGGUGAAGCUCGGAUCUGGCAUUGCUGUGGCUGUGGUGUAGGCCGGCAGCUGCAGCUCUGAUUCAACCUCUAACCUGGGAACGUCCAUAUGCUACAGGUGCAGCCCUAAAAAGAAAAAAAAAUAACACAGCUCUCUGAGGGCACGGGUGGAAUGGUCAGGGGCCCUUUCUAAUCACAGAUCCCAGAGGGCAAAGGAAAUGCCAGGCAAGGAAUACAUCUCUGCAAAGGGCUGCCGUUUACUCGGAACACUGAGGAUGCCAGUGAGACCCUCCUUUCCCGGGCUCCUCCCCAGAUCAGAAGAGCACAGACAGAGGGACCGCUGAAAUGCCUGCAAGUCUUUGGAAUUUAUAGAGAAACCAAAAUCAAUGGCACCCGGAUUUUAUUCUAAUGAUCUGCGUCCCAUUUGUUGGGAAGAACUUGUUUUCACAGCAAAAUCUUUCUCUGUGCUCUUGAGCAGGAUGAGAGGAGCCGGUGAAAUCGCACGCUGGGAAAUGGGUCUGUGAAGACGUGGUCUCUGCUCGGGACAGGCAGUGUGGCGGCCAGGCCGUCUCCCCAUUGCCGCUGGUGAGCUUUUCCUCAUCACGGCCUCCUGUCUCUUUAAAGAGCAUUAUAGAGGAGUCCCCGUUGUGGCUCAAUGGGUUAAGAAUCCAACUAGUAACCAUGAGGAUGCAGGUUCAGUCCUUGGCCCUGCUCAGUGGGUUAAGGAUCAAGUGUUGCAUAAGCUGUAGCAUAGGUCACAGGUAUGGCUUGGAUCCGGCGUGGCUGUGGCUGGUGACUAUGGCUCCAAUUGGAGCCUGGGAACCCCUAAAAAGCACCCCCCCAAAAGCAUAAUAGAGACAGAUCUGCUCUCAAGAUUGCCUUUGAAAGUGGCUCCGGCAUCUCACGUAGCACCCCGAAAGAUAGAGUAUUUUGUGAAUGACCUGCUGGAUUUGGCUCUCCUGGGACUUCUCUGGCUUCUAGGAAUAAUGCAUACCCAGUUUUCUUACCAGCUUGGGGAGCGCUGAUUAAUGGUGCAGCGAUGCUCAUCGGAGGCAGGUGCUUUUUCACUGCCACGGAGGGCCCUGAUGGAUGGCACACCCUCUUCCCUGGCUGGGGCGGCCUCCACUGUGGCUCCCUCUCCCCACUCCAAGCCUAUUCAUCACAGUAGCUACUGUGUCCCAGAUGCUGGCUGCAUUUGAGGCACCACUCAUGUGUCUGUACGCCUGUAAGUUUUGUAAUCACCACAGGGAAAGCACUAUUACUAUUGUCUAUUUUGUAGUUGAGGAUAAUAAGGUCUGGUGAGGUUCAGGAACUCCCCCAGGCCUUGCACCACCAGUAUGAGGUGGCAAAUUCAGGUUGGUACAGUCUCAGUACCAUGCUAUUUUGCUGCAGCAGUCUGCUUUGGUGAGCAGAUCUUUGGAGUGAUGUAGACAAAGUGCUGGUUUGAUUGGCACCUUAGCAGGCACCUCUGUCUGGGCCAUGGUGUACAGUUGGCUGGGUUGUGCACUGCACAACCCCAGAGGAUACCAAUCACAGUGUACUUCUGGGCGAAUGACACGCUCUAGAAUUGUGCGGUGCACAAGCUGAAAAUCCAGAAUGGCAGCCCUGGGAUUCUAAUUGUUUUCAGCUGUUUACUCAUGGCUUGGGAGACCUUUGAAGCUGUGUUCAUGACCAUUGCCUGGCCAUGGCUACCUCUGUGAAAUGAGUGAAUCCACUUAAUGAAACAUGCUGCUUUCUUCUUCCCAGAGAACUCAUGCCUUACCAGCCUGGCCCCAGACAAUCUCAGAUGGGGCUGCUCCUCCACCCUGUUGGUCCUGGGCCACCCCAGCCAGCAUCCUGGACCUCUCAGGCCACAGCCACCUAAAGCCCAACAUUCAGACUUCAGUAUCCUAAGGACUGCUGUGAGGUGGAAGAAACCAAGUGUCUGUCCCAGCCAGGAGCACCAGCAUCUUCACUUUUAAAUUAAAAAAAAAAAAAAA